rnacentral:rRNA from 1 species
UGAUCCUGCCAGCAGUCAUACGCUUGCUUCAAGGAUUAAGCCAUGCAAGUGCUGAGUAAAUGGACUUACAGUUGAUCUGCGAACGGCUCAUUAUGCCAGUCGUAAUCUGCCCGGAUAAGUGGCUUAGCCAUCGAGUGGAUACCUUCACUAAGUGGCUUUUACGGGUAACAGAGGAUCAGGGUUCGACUCUGGAGAGGGAGCCUGAGAAACGGCUACCAUGUCUAAGGACAGCAGCAGGCGCGCAAAUUGCCCAAUGCUAACACGAGCGAGGCAGCGACGAGAAGUAUUUACUUCGUUACACUUUUUUGUGACCUGGAUAGAAAUGGAUGGCAUGCAAAACCACCACAGAGGAUCGAUCGGAGGGCAAGUCU